CGGGGCGUAGCGCAGGGGAUAGCGCGCCUGCCUUGGGAGCAGGAGGUCGGUGGUUCAAAUCCACUCGCCCCGA
rnacentral:tRNA from 1 species